GGUUCUCUGUCGGUAAUCACACGCGUUCCUACAACUAUACGUACAGCGGCAAAAAUCAAACAUUUGGCAUCCAAUGUCAUGUAAGAAUUGUUGUCGAAGAAUUUCAAUCAUGCAAGGAAAUACUGAAGAGUCACAGCAAAGCUGCAAGUGGUGUUUAUCAAAUCAGUGUUGGUUCAAAUCAAGUGAUGA